UAGUGUUUCAGGGUGAUACUA
rnacentral:siRNA from 1 species